CUCUGAGACUAUCACAGUGCAGGUGCAUUUAUACGGAGACUUGAUUACACACAGGUGGAUUGUAUUUAUCAUCAUUAGUCAUUUAGGUCAACAUUGGAUCAUUCAGAGAUCCUCACUGAACUUCUGGAGAGAGUUUGCUGCACUGAAAGUAAAGGGGCUGAAUAAUUUUGCACGCCCAAUUUUUCAGUUUUUGAUUGGUAAAAAAGUUUGAAAUUUCCAAUAAAUGUCCUUCCACUUCAUGAUUGUGUCCCACUUGUUGUUGAUUCUUCACAAAAAAAUACAGUUUUAUAUCUUUAUGUUUGAAGCCUGAAAUGUGGCAAAAGGUCGCAAAGUUCAAGGGGGGCGAAUACUUUCUUAAGGCACUUUAUGUGUCCUUAGAAAGAAUGACAACCUGUGCAUCAUAUUUUACCACCCAUAUGGCUAAAUACAUAAUUACAAGCAAAUCAAUUCAUUUGUUCAAUCUGACUCAGAAGCCAUAACUGGUCUUUCAUUAUAUUAAAAACAAUAGUAAAGUCUUUAUAUGACAUAAAAUGAUUGACAAAAUACAUUAAAAACCAGUUCAAAAUAAUAGGUGAAGACAUUACAGUAGUAGAGCUGUAUGAGACCCCAGUAGUAGAGCUGUAUGAGACCCCAGUAGUAGAGCUGUAUGAGACCCAAGUAGUAGAGCUAGCUGAGACCCCAGUCAGUACCCAGUAGUAGAGCUAUCUGAGACCCCAGUCAGUACCCAGUAGUAGAGCUAUCUGAGACCCCUGUCAGUACCCUGUAGUAGAGCUGUAUGAGACCCCAGUCAGUACCCAGUAGUAGAGCUAUCUGAGACCCCAGUCACUGAGCUAGCUGAGACCCCAGUUAGUACCCAGUAGUAGAGCUAUCUGAGACCCCAGUCAGUACCCAGUAGUAGAGCUGUAUGAGACCUCAGUCAGUACCCAGUAGUAGAGCUAGCUGAGACCCCAGUCAGUACCCAGUAGUAGAGCUAUCUGAGACCCCAGUCAGUACCCAGUAGUAGAGCUGUAUGAGACCUCAGUCAGUACCCAGUAGUAGAGCUGUAUGAGACCCCAGUCAGUACCCAGUAGUAGAGCUAUCUGAGACCCCAGUCAGUACCCAGUAGUAGAGCUAUCUGAGACCCCAGUCAGUACCCAGUAGUAGACCCCAGCCAGUAGAGAGUCAGUUGUUGACAGUUGGACACUUUGACAAGCUAUCAAGUUUAGACCACAGAAGAUUUGUAGAAGCAUUGACAUUGUCCAUGUUGUCGUGUUCCCUUGAUGUGCAGCUAAAUGUGGUCAUUGUAAUUAGAUGUUUGCGACAGGGGUAGACCUAGUGGUAGCCUUCUCCCUGGGGCAUUGGUUUACACCACGGUUGGUGGUUUAGGGCUAGUAAAACAUCUUCACACGCCCCCUGCGGAAGGCUAUGCCAUAUGCUACUGUAAAAAUAGGCCGCCAAUUGAAGUUUCUGUUCUGUCGUUCUUCCUGGCUGAAGUAAUGUCAGUGUAGGUCUGGUAUUUCCCAUUUUUUUAUGGCACAUAAUCAUUUGAUCAGUUCUCAUGUAUACCAUUUUAAUUUCAUUUGUAAAGGGCAAGAAGACAAAUGUUACUUGUUUUUUGUGUGAAUUUAUUCCUGUUCGGUUAGGGUUGUUGUUUGCUGUCCGUACGGGAGAGACCAGCUCGUGGACAUCUGCUCAUCAGAAUAACACAGGGUCAGGAGAUGGAACAGUCCCGUAAUGACAACGGAGCAUGCACACUUUCAAAGGUUAUCCAUUAGAAAUACAAUUUGUUCAGCUGAUAUGAAUAUUCAAUUUUAUUUGUCUGCGGC
ensembl:lncRNA